GUCCUUAGUUACCAGCACGUUAUGGUGGGCACUCUAAGGAGACUGCCGGUGACAAACCGGAGGAAGGUGGGGAUGACGUCAAGUCAUCAUGGCCCUUACGGCCUGGGCUACACACGUGCUACAAUGGUCGGUACAAAGGGUUGCCAAGCCGCGAGGUGGAGCUAAUCCCAUAAAACCGAUCGUAGUCCGGAUCGCAGUCUGCAACUCGACUGCGUGAAGUCGGAGUCGCUAGUAAUCGUGAAUCAGAAUGUCACGGUGAAUACGUUCCCGGGCCUU
rnacentral:rRNA from 1 species